GACGAACGCUGGCGGCGUGCUUAACACAUGCAAGUCGAACGAAGAGCGAUGGAAGCUUGCUUCUAUCAAUCUUAGUGGCGAACGGGUGAGUAACGCGUAAUCAACCUGCCCUUCAGAGUGGGACAACAGUUGGAAACGUCUGCUAAUACCGCAUACGCUCUAAUCUCGGCAUCGAGGAUAGAUGAAAGGUGGCCUCUACAUGUAAGCUAUCACUGAAGGAUGGGAUUGCGUCUGAUUAGCUAGUUGGAGGGGUAACGGCCCACCAAGGCGAUGAUCAGUAGCCGGUCUGAGAAGAUGAACGGCCACAAUGGGAAUGAGACACGGCCCAAACUCCUACGGGAGGCAGCAGUGGGGAAUCUUCCGCAAUGGACGAAAGUCUGACGGAGCAACGCCGCGUGAGUGAUGACGGCCUUCGGGUUGUAAAGCUCUGUUAAUCGGGACGAAAGGCCUUCUUGCGAAUAGUGAGAAGGAUUGACGGUACCGGAAGAGAAAGCCACGGCUAACUACGUG
rnacentral:rRNA from 1 species